AGCAGCACCAGAAGGGAGUCAGGUGGGAAUAGCAGCCCACUAUUAAGUACAGCCACGAGGUUUACCAGUGCUCUACAUGCUUUUGCUGCAAGGCACACUGAAACGGAGGAAGUUGCUUGAAUGAGUUACUACAAGAAUGGGAAGAGUAAAGACGAAGCAGCAGAAAAACCCACGGGGAGUGGCAGGCUCUGACCAUUUUAUUUAAGAUGCACAGUAAGGACCAGCUAAAGGCACAGGAGGACUGUUGGGUUAGACAAACCUAGGCUGCACACAUAAAGAGUUACGGUGUUCAUGGUCUCUUCUUACUCCUAUGUAUGUAUCACAUGAAGAAAUUGAUUCUAACAUUAGAAAAACACACAAAGGGAAAGGGCGGAGAGGAAAAACUAGAAGUGUUGCUGGUGGGAGUAAGAAAGGCUCUACAGACAGGCUGUGGAGUGUCCUUGCAGUCACAGUAGACACUUCCCGGAGAAGAAAGAGAAGUUGUCAGUGGUAUUUCAGAGUGAGAGAUCACAGCUCCAGGGGCAGGGUAGCAGGACAGAUGGUCAGGGACGGACACAAGUCACACAUGCUCAGGGCUUCACGGAGGGCACUUCAGCAGGUGCACAGGGAUGUGACAGGAAGAACUAAGGAACGGGACAAAGAAAGGAGACAGAAAUCGAAGACUGCCUGCUCAUUUGACCCUGCAUGCCUCAAGCAUGUGUCUUCAAACUCUCCAGGCUGCAAGCAUGCAUUUUCAGAGAUGUCUGCACAACAACACAUCUAUCUGUUGCAAAGCAGAGGGAAGCUGAAACGGAAACACGGGCAAACAGCAGGAGCGCAAACGAGAGGCUGUUUUCAGACAUGGGUCUAGCUCCACUGCACCGGCAUCUGCCACGGCCAAGGAGGAAGGAUUUGUAUAUUGCUUCAGGACGAAGGUGGAGAAACGUCACACGAUCUUUAGUUUGAGAUUUUCCUUGGCUGCGGCAAAGGGUGGAUCCAAGCACAGUGGAAGGAGAUGAAUCAAGGAGGCAGUCGCUGUUUUUACGGAGGAACAGUACUGGGGAUGUUUGGGUUACCCUGGAAGCACGGAAAGCCAACCGGAAUGAGAAAUUUAAAACACGGCUAGAAUAUCUGUAGCUCGGUUGAUUGGGUGCGUGAAGAAGGACUUGGCUUUGAUUCCUAGCACUCCAUAAGACAGGAUUCAGUGAUCUCAACACCUUGAGAGGAAGAGGCAGAAGGAUCAAAAUUUCAAGACCAUCAAGAUUCGUAGUUACUGCCAGGUCAGCGUAGGAAAUGUGAUUAACCGUGUAGGAAAAUAUGGUUUCAACUACACCAAAGCAAACAUAAAAGCCCCCAAACUUGCAGAUAGAAAAAUAUUAGGUACCUGCUAAGAGAAAAGGAGGACUCCAGAAUGACUUCUAAACUUUGGGUAUCACCAGUGCACCGUGUCUCUUUGUAGACUGGAAGGAAAGACGGUCUUCUAAACAUCUGUGUUUGCAAGAAGCUGGACAUCUCCACAUAGAGACACAGCGACCUGAGGUUGAUAGAUAUAUAAAGUGAGUGCUCAGGGAAGACGUCCAGGCCAGGGCACAAAUCAGGCAAUUUAGUAAGUACCUCUUCUGCUGAACACCCUCAAAGGUUUUCCACUGCUGAGAAUGCAGCUUGAGGUCUCUACAAUGUCACUGAAAGCCUUCUCCCAUCGUAUCUUUCCCGUGUGGGCUUAGUGAAAUGUGAAAUGAUUUCUCCAGGAUUCUGAUGUGAAUGAAAUGACAUGUAAAACAGUAAGGACAAAGCAAGGUGUUGUGUUCUGUGUGCGAAUCUUUCCCUUCCAGAACAGGGUACUCUCUGAGUGCUCAUGCUGUUGUUACAUUGGUAUUAACUGAGUAGACUACAAUGACUCCUGCUUCAUUAUGGUUACUUCCAUUUACUAGAACAAACAGCCAUCACGGACCAAAUAGUUACUACUAGGGUCCUGAUACCUUAAGCCUAGUCCCCAGAGCCCAUAGUACUCGACACAUGGUUAAUAAACACAACCUCCUACAUGCAUAUGAGGCUGAGAGAAUAAGUUACACAUUUGUGCAUGGGCGACCCUAUAAAUCAAUGGAGCUAAACUUUCGGCUAUUAUUGAACAGGAGCUGAGGUGUUCACAACAGAGCAAGCUAAACAUCCCAAUGUGAUGCGAAUCAUCUCAGAAGAGAUGAAUUGAGGUGUCUAGCAGGUCCUGUGUUUUGGCAGUAGUGAAUUUGAGUUCGUCUACCUUGAAAGCAAGGAAGGGGUGGAAAUCAGGGGCUACAGUAGGAAGAAGAAAUGGGAAACCACUUUCCUCCCAUGUCAUUACCAAAACAAACGGGCACUAUUUUCUUUCCGCUUCUAGCAUACUUGGGCUUCUCCUUGGAGAUCGCUUUCCCUCUUGAAGGCUGUCUUGGAAGUGGAGCUUCAACUGAUUUUUAUUUCUGUUAGCAAUAACUCUUGGAGUCGGGGAGUACAUUUCAUGAUGUGUUGUGGCUGGGCACCUCAUUCCCCGGGGGAAUAACGUCGCCUACACAUGAAACCUGUUUCAAUUCUGCCUGGCUCUUCAAGAGAAAUUGUGAUUAUUUCUAGAACCAACGUGGUUCCUCGUUAGGUCCAAGAUCUCUGAGGCUUGUUGUUUCUUGGGUGUAAACUAUUCUGAACAGCGCGGAAAGUCCAGAAGACUCAGAGGUCUUAGGAUGGCCUUGCCAUUCAAAAUGCGAGCCUGGCCUAGUCGGGGGAAACCUAGUGUAUCACGAGGGAAAAAGACACGAACAGAGCAGCUUAAGCUUAUGCUUCCAGAGUGUUUUCUGGUGGUAUUGAAAAGGAGCAGUUGUGAGAGCUUGGGCUGUAGACUCAAGUGCUGCCAGGGGCCAAAAAGGUGAAGUGACCAGGAGAAGCUGGCCAGGCGCUAGACAAUAGAGCAGUGCAGCCAGCCAUGGCAACUGCACAGUGUCACAUGCCCUGUUUAACCUAAAACCAUGCACAGUAAUUAGUAAACAAACCACACAAGUGAGCUUCCAGGGAUGAACAACAGAUGCUGUUACUGUUCACUUACAGAACUUCAAGGUCUCAUCUUCUCCACACAGCAUUGUGUAGAGCUUUCCAUCGGUUGCAGGGCUCUGCUUGACCUGGGACGUCCCUGAUCAUGCCUCGGAUCAACACCUCCUGUUCCCAGCCAGGGUAAAGUCUCAGAACCUGCUAAUUUUGAUCUCAGGCCUUGGUUCUUAUUGCGUCUUCUCUCUGGAAUAAGCUUCCUUCAGAGUGAAUGUGUACUCUAUCAGUUUGUCCCAGUGUCUGUAUAAGGGGAUCCUUGUUAAAAGUGUUAUGCUGCUUUUUUUUCUUUAUCCAACUUUCCACUCACUCUAUCCCAUCUUAUCUUUUGGUGUAUGUAUGAGGGUAUGUGUGUGGUUGUGCAUGUUAUAUAAGAAAAAGAAAUCUGUUUAGUACCCAUCAGGGAUGCCAAUGGACUUCAAGUAGCCAGUAGUUACAUUAUUUCCUACUAAACACAGUCGGUUGAACUACUUUUCUUUGAAUCUGCAUGCAUUCUUGGGCAUAUUUUCUUAUAUUCCAGGCCACCUUCUUUAAAUAACACAACAUCAUUUCAGAAAAUAUGUAGCUCUGUCUCCUGAACUGCCAGUCUAGGUCUGACUGAAGGGAGUAAGCCACAAUAUGGAGCAGAUGUGGCUAACUGUCCUUACUUGCCUGAUCUUGCCACAUCCUACCUCUUUGUGGUUCCUCACUCAGCAUUGUCCUGUUCUGUCUCUGGCUCUCCAGGGGCCAAUGUAAACUGGAGGAUAUUUUCACCGGGUAUGGCUGGUGCUCAGUAUUAACUAGUAAUUUCAUGGAGACAUUUUAUGGAUUCUGCAGAAAUCCGCCAUUUUGGGGAGACUCUUACUGGACUAAUGAGUUCUGAACGCAGCCUCGCAGAGUUGUAGACGUUCAGUCCUCCCUACAACCCCUUUUGUAACUUUCUUAAAUUGAAUAGAGAUUGGCUGCCAUCUCUGGGGCAAAUUAGUGCAGCAGAACCACCCUUAAUUCUUACCCUUUGCUGCCUUCCUUCUCCUCAUCCACCUUCAGCAAGACAACAUCCAUCCGUCUCCAAAGAGACCAACCCCCUUCCUACUCUGCUGAACUUCCUCUCUCCUUUAGACUUCUUGGGUCUUAUCUCAAACUAUGGGGGACAAGGGUCAGGCCCAUCAAGGUGUCUGGGAGUUCUUUCAUUUGGUUGCAUCUACACCCACCUCUAUGAAGCCCUGUUUCUAGAAAUCUCUUGACUUACGUAUGUUUCAGAGCAUAGUUACUAAUCAGUUUCACAUCCUUUCCAAAUGUUCUGCAUGCAUCAUUUAACACCUUCUGCAAAACUGAUUAAAUCUCUAUGAGAAAGAGAGUGCCAUUACAUCACAAACAUAUUUCAUGUAUAAUUUAUAUAUUUAUAUAACAUUAAAAAGGUGGUAUUUUUCAUUUCUUUUGUGACUAAACCUCUGUAACUCAGAAAUGCAAACUGGCUCCUCCACUCUUUAAAAAUGUACUGUUGGAAUAAAAAACAAUCAUGUAAAAUA